rnacentral:rRNA from 1 species
UGGGGAAUAUUGGACAAUGGGCGAAAGCCUGAUCCAGCCAUGCCGCGUGUGUGAAGAAGGUCUUCGGAUUGUAAAGCACUUUAAGUUGGGAGGAAGGGCAUUAACCUAAUACGUUAGUGUUUUGACGUUACCGACAGAAUAAGCACCGGCUAACUCUGUGCCAGCAGCCGCGGUAAUACAGAGGGUGCAAGCGUUAAUCGGAAUUACUGGGCGUAAAGCGCGCGUAGGUGGUUUGUUAAGUUGGAUGUGAAAUCGCCGGGCUCAACCUGGGAACUGCAUUCAAAACUGACUGACUAGAGUAUGGUAGAGGGUGGUGGAAUUUCCUGUGUAGCGGUGAAAUGCGUAGAUAUAGGAAGGAACACCAGUGGCGAAGGCGACCACCUGGACUAAUACUGACACUGAGGUGCGAAAGCGUGGGGAGCAAACA